UAUUUUUCCAUAUACAGGGCGAGAUGAAAAAACUGCAACCAACUUCAGACUGCUGUCAUUUCUAAGCCACUCGUCCGAAAGCUGGUGUAUUAAAGCCUGGAGGGUGUAUUAAAGCUUUGGGCACGCAAACAUUUUGGCCGCAGACAUUGGACAUUCCAACAGAACUCAGCACCAUCGCACUCAGCACGCGCCACCCAAGAAUGGUUACAAAAU